GGAUCAUUAAUACAUACGGUGUUGCAUCCUGCACAUUCCGUCCCCACUCACUCCGAGUACCUCUCCAUUUGCUUCUCGGAAGUAGGGUCUUGCCCGCCUUGGGCGUGGCUCUGCGGAGGGGAACAACCGAAACUCUUUUGUAUACCAAUGAUCUCAGUCUGAGUUUGUUAGAAGAAACGUUAAAACUUUCAGCAACGGAUCUCUUGGUUCUCGCAUCGAUGAAGAACGCAGCGAAAUGCGAUAAGUAGUGUGAAUUGCAGAAUUCAGUGAAUCAUCGAAUCUUUGAACGCACAUUGCGCCUCGUGGUAUUCCGCGAGGCAUGCCUGUUCGAGCGUCAUCAAAAACCCACUCAAGCUGCCUUGCUUGGUCAUGGAGGAUGAGGAUCGUGAACGGUUCUCCCCUCCGAAAUGGAAAGGCUGACCACUGGAGUUGCCCAGGCGUUGUAAUGGUUUUGUCCCCUCGUCUCGGCCUCUGCUGUGGUCCUGCCCGUCGAACCCCCACAUAUUUCAGGUUGACCUCGGAUCAGG
rnacentral:rRNA from 1 species